CAAGCGGGCUGAACGGUCGCGGCAGGACGCGAGUCCUGUCGAGGAAAGUCCGGGCUCCACAGGGCAGGACGCUUCGUAACGCGAAGGCGGCGUGAGCCGACGGAAAGUGGAACAGAAAAUACACAGCCCGCCUCGGCGGGCAACGGUGAAAAGGUGCGGUAAGAGCGCACCAGCGUCGUGGCGACACGGCGGCUUUUCAAACCCCGUCCGGAGCAAGUCCAAAUAGGGAACCAUUGGCGUUGCCCGCGCCGGUUCCGGGUAGGACGCUCGAGACGCAUGGCGACAUGCGUCCCAGAUGAAUGGCCGUUCACGGGCGCGCAAGCGCCCCGGACAGAACCCGGCUUACAGGCCCGCUUGCUUU
rnacentral:RNase_P_RNA from 1 species